rnacentral:rRNA from 1 species
GUAUAUGUAGUUGCAAGAUGUUGUCGGCGUGCACUUCUUCCCUAGUAGGACGUCGCGACCCGUUGGGUGUCGGUCUACGGCCCGAGUGAUAGCCUUUAAUGUAAUUUAAAAAUCAUUGAAGAUCCUUGGUGUUUUCUGACCGGCUACUCGGCGGUACUCGUACGGUAUUUAGCCGCUAAUUUAUUAGCGUCCAUGUCCGUCACAAGCGAGGCCAAUUUACUGAUAGUGCGGACCUAGUGCCGUCGUUGGUAUUGACCAGCUUUUGGUUGUACGUGAUUCUGGGACUGGCUAAAAUUAAUUACCGGUCGGCGAUGCUACUGCUUUGGGUACUUUCAGGACCCGUCUUGAAACACGGACCAAGGAGUCUAACAUGUGCGCAAGUCAUUGGGAUUUUUUUAAAAUUAAACCUAAAGGCGUAAUGAAAGUAAAGGUUGUCCUUGCGUCAACCGAGGGAGGAUGAGUUGUGUUAUGAUACAGCUCCGCACUCCCGGGGCGUCUCAUUCUUAUUAUAAGAAGAGGCGCACCUAG